UAUCUAAUAAUAUAGAUGCGUGGCGCCACCUAUCGGACUGCGACUGAACUGCAAGGGUAUAUAAACUUCGGCUCCGCCCGAAGUUAGCUUUCCUUUCUUGUUUUUUUUUGAGAUGAGAUACUAGUCUUCUAACGCAAUAUACUCGAUGCUUUUCCGAUUUACUUUGAUCCUUUAAUCCGUUUAAUAUUAACCCCCUCCCUGCGGUCUCUCGGAAUGCGUCCAAUCAGUGCGAAUUACUACUGAAAUGUCGCAUUUUUAAUUUAAAUCGCACUCCCCGAGAUAAAUGAGAAUUAAUGGCUAAAGUUCGAUUGGAGGAAAGAAAAGCAAACAGUUUCCAGAUGAUUGCAUUCCGCCAACAGGACACAAAUGAGAAUAUAUAUUUGAUUAAUGACACUGAGGGGGGAGUGCGGGGUGGUGGAGGAGUGAGUUCAGGACACUCUGCAUAAAAGUGAUUUAUUCCACAAAUUAAAAAUGGCGGAAAUCAAAUUAAUUGAAAUUAAUGCAAAGAUUUAUAUCGGCAAGACAGGGCGUAUGAGUGAUAUUUUUUAUGGUCAUAGAUUUCAAAAGGAUUUUUUUAUCCGAUUAAAUUUGUUAUUCUUUAAAUAAUUAUAAAAAAAUAUUUCAGAGAUUUAAAUAGUAUAACAUAUUUUCAAAAAAAAAAAAUUACAAACAGGGCGUAUGAGUAAUAUUUUAAAAGACUUGCUUAUUAAGUGUGUAAGAAUAUAGUCAACAUUUUUAAACAUAAAAAUAAUGAAAAUUUUGAUCAGAAUCAUUAUAAUUCAUAACAAUUUAACCACAAAAGGAUAUUUUUAAUAACUUAUUUGAGCUGGCAUUUACUUAUUGUUACCAAUUAUUGUACUUCAUACCUUGCAGAGUUGUGGAGUUUUGUUGUUAAUAAAUUGCACUUAACUGGCUUAUAGGAAAGUAAACAAAGACACUAAGAGAAACACCUAGGAAGCUAAGAGAGCCAAAGAGAAGGGAACGGGUUGCAAAUAACAUGCCGUUUUGCAAAAACAAUUCGGAAGCUCUCAGUGCUCAGUUAUGCUGUUGCAGCGCUGCUCUGCCGGCUGUUACCGGUUUUUAUGGCCGCGGCAGCAGCAGUGGCAGAAGUGGCAGCAGCAGCGCCAGAAGUAGGAAGGAAACCAGAAAGCGCCCCUCUGGAUGGGUGUAUUGGUGGACGAGUGCAGCGGUGUGUGUGUCUGUGUGUGUGUGUAGCGUCUGCUGGCGCUGUCUGCUGUGAAAUUGUUGAGGCAGGUCCUGGCUGGAAUACGCGAAAAUAGGUACAGCCAACGAACUGCGCUCCAGACGACCCGACCGACGGGUGUCUCUGUGUUCCGGAUCUGUGUGUGGAUGUGGAAGUGGAUGUGGAUGUGCUACCACCAAAGCCAAAGUCAGAGCCAUCAGGAGCAACAGCAAAAGCAAAACGCCGAAAGAAGCAUCGAAAAACAUGUGGAAGAGUGGCAGGCCAAUGGGUGAAGAGUGACUCUGAAGGCUGGAUGGAGCAUCACAGUACAUAUGUAUGCUGCAGCCUGGGUUCCAGUGCUGGGAACUGCUUGCUGCUUGCUGCCUUCUGCCUUCUGGCUGCCAGCAUUCUGCUUGCUGCAAACUCCGAACAACAAGCCGUCCGUGGCAAUGGCAACACACAUACCGACCGACCGAACCGAUGUAGCCAAAACACUCCACUCGAUAGAUACAGCCGCAGUCGCCGCUCUGCCGCCGCUCAGCCGAGCAUAGUGGCAUAGCUAUAGCUUCAGGUUCAGCCUCAGUUUCGGUUCUGAGCUUCAGCUGCAGCAACGUUUCCUCACUAUCCACUAUCCACCUUCCACUGCCCACUAUCCAUCUAUAUCCGCACAUAUAUCGGCACUAUACAUGCACUAUAUACAUAUAUGUGGCAGUCUCCCCACCCCCCCGACUAUACACACACUUUCGCGAGUAACUAUUUUUUUUGGCCACGGCCAAGAGAUGAAUUGGUAAUGCAAUUCUGGCCAGCUCUCUCGCUGGCUUUCCUUUGUUGCAAAUUGAAUCGAACUGCAGCGGGCGAUCGGCUUACGUGGCCAGGGCCGGAGAGGCGAAUCUGUGGGGGAUUGCGGAUUGAGGAUUAGGCCAAGUCAAGUGGAAUUGUUUUUGCAGAUGUGGGGGCGAGAGAGAGGAAUAAACAAUAGAUAUUGCCAAGAGGUCUAUGAGGUCUAUAUGAGCAUGAGUCAAAAAUUCAUGACUCAGAGAGUCCUUUGAAGCCCAUCAGGAGUGCCUGAAGGAAUUUCACAACAUAAUCAAAUGGGUUCAACCAAGGGUUGCUCGCAGGAUGUUAAGGAUUUGUAAUCCAACUCAAAUGGUGCAUACUCACAUAUGGACCAUUAACAGAAACCCGUAAAUCCGAACUUGUGCUGUUUUUUAUCUGUUACAAGACCGGCAUUAUGGGAGUCUGUCAAUGCAAACAACUGGUUUUUGGCAACAAAAUCAAUCGAAUGUGUCACAAUGAGAGACGACGCGGUCGUAAAACAAUGAAUCGAAUAACCCAACAAACUAAACAGUAAUUAAACCGAUAAAGGACAUAAAUCCUAGAUAAAAUAAAUCAAAUAAUCCACAAUCACUCAGUAACUCUAAUUGACCUCCAAACUGCCCAUUAUGAUUUGUUCCUUUUGACUUUAUUUUCGACAUUAUUUGAUUUACCAAAAACCGACCCAACGAGUGCCCCCAGAAACCAAACCCCUUCACGACCUAACCACCCAGCAAAAAGGACUACACCAAGGACCUUUUUCUCUCUGGCAAAUUGAGGUAGUAGGUUGUAUAGUAGCAACUAAGAAUCGUACUAUACAAUGUGCUAGCUUUCUUUGCUUGACAAUAAGCCGCAUUUGAUUUGAAAAUCCCCCCCCAAUGGAGUUCUAUGUGGAAUCGAAGCCAUAAGUGGUGGUGAUGUGAUAAAAUUUAAUUUAUGCAAAGAAUUAUUAUUAUUGAGAAGUAGUGCUGUUGAGAACCAAACUCCGUCCAGCUCGAUCGAGAGCCGACAUUCGCCAAGCAAAUGCAUCCGCCGGGCGCAUGUAAAUAUUGGUAUUGGUGACAUGUGCAAAUGUUUGUAUGGCUGAUUCCCUGAGACCCUAACUUGUGACUUUUAAUACCAGUUUCACAAGUUUUGAUCUCCGGUAUUGGACGCAAACUUGCUGAUGUUAAUACAAAAAAGAUAAAGCAAACUGAGAGCCAAGGGUCCACUGCAGUUGGCAGUAAGUAGAAAAUUUAUUCACGGGGUCUAAAGUCUUUACCAGUUAUGAGAAUUGCAUUUAUAAAUAAUUCUUGUCUCUUUCUCUUGUCAGAAUGCUGCAGAGGUGGAGUCCUACAGUUCCCACAACCCAAACCCAAUAAAUAAUACUCCUCACUACGCUUUACAUUAUUUUAU